UGGGGAAUAUUGGACAAUGGGCGCAAGCCUGAUCCAGCCAUGCCGCGUGAGUGAUGAAGGCCCUAGGGUUGUAAAGCUCUUUUACCUGGGAAGAUAAUGACGGUACCAGGAGAAUAAGCCCCGGCUAACUUCGUG
rnacentral:rRNA from 1 species